rnacentral:rRNA from 1 species
UACGUAGGGUGCAAGCGUUGUCCGGAAUUAUUGGGCGUAAAGAGCUCGUAGGCGGUCUGUCGCGUCGGAUGUGAAAAUCCAGGGCUCAACCCUGGACCUGCAUUCGAUACGGGCAGACUAGAGUUCGGCAGGGGAGUGUGGAAUUCCUGGUGGAGCGGUGAAAUGCGCAGAUAUCAGGAGGAACACCCGUAGCGAAGGCGGCACUCUGGGCCGGAACUGACGCUGAGGAGCGAAAGCGUGGGGAGCGAACAGG